CAGCCACUCAAAACUUCUUUUAUAAUUUAAUGAACGAGGAAAAUUUUUAACAAAAUUGUGUUCUCACGUAUGUGUGCUAAAUAAAGAAACCAGUUGGCCUUGCUGCCUCUUCAUUUGGCCGCACAUUAUAUAAAGGAAAACCCGCAAGCAGGAAAAACAACAUUCGCAUCUUCGGAACAGAAUCGCAAGCAUGAUGCAGUGCACCUUCCCUAAAGUCGCGGCUUUACUUCUCCUUUUAGCCAUUGUGUCUGCGCAAGCGCAACAAGAAGGCGAUGUACUAUAUUUGGACCGCAAUUCAGAAUGCGAAAUCAAAUUGAAUCCAGACGGCUCUCGUGAAGAGAACUGCUUUGCACUGGCCUCAGCCCCCGCACGAAAGAACUGUGCGUCAGGAUUAACUUCGUAUCACGGAGUUUGCAGGAGAAUUGUAUAUGUAUGAUUUAGUAUGAUAAAAAAAAAAAAUUAUCUUUGGCAGUUUGCCAUUUCGGUUCAUCUGAAACCCUUUUAAAAUUUCGGAAAAAUAUAUAUCUCAUUAAAUAAAUUGGUUCUUUUCAAAACUC